rnacentral:lncRNA from 1 species
AUGAGGAAAAAUGGGAUUUCAAAGAGAUUUUGGGAUCCAAAGGAAUUUUGGGAUGAGGAAUUUUGGGAUUCCAAAGGAAUUUUGGGAUGAGAUUUCAAAGAGAUCUUGGGAUCCGAAGAAAUUUUGGGAUUUCAAAGGAAUUUUGGGAUGGGAUUUCAAACAGAUUUUGGGAUUCAAAUGAAUUUUGGGAUCUGAAAGAAUUUUGGGAUCCGAAGGAAUUUUGGGAUGAGAUUUCAAAGAGAUCUUGGGAUCCAAUGGGAUUUUGGGAUCCAAAGGAAUUUUGGGAUCUGACGGAAUUUUGAGAUGAAAUUUCAAAAAGAUUUUGGGAUCCAAAGGAAUUUUGGGAUUUCAAAGGAAUUUUGGGAUUUCAAAGGAAUUUUGGGAUGAGAUUUCAAACAGAUUUUGGGAUCCGAAGGAAUUUUGGGAUUUCAAAGGGAUUUGGGGUUGGGAUUUUGGAGAUUUUUUGGGAUGGGAUCCAAAGACAUUUUGGGAAUUUCAGGGGCUUUUGGAGCCUCAGGUAUUUGGGAUUUGGGGCCGGGAUUCCCGUGCAAUUCCGGGAUCUCAUUCCCACUUUUUUCCCGGCAGGGCGGCGGCCUGGAAGCGCUGACGGAGCGAUUCCAACCCCACCAAUCCACGCCCUCCCCGCUGCUCCUGGAGCAAAAACCGGGAAUGUUCUCCCAAACUUUCCCCCCUUCCUCAUCUUCAUCCUCCUCCUCCUCCUCCUCCUCCUCCUCCUC